UGAACGCUAGCUACAGGCUUAACACAUGCAAGUCGAGGGGCAGCAUGGUCUUAGCUUGCUAAGACUGAUGGCGACCGGCGCACGGGUGAGUAACACGCAUCCAACCUGCCGUCUACUCUUGGACAGCCUUCUGAAAGGAAGAUUAAUACAAGAUGGCAUCAUGAGUCCGCAUGUUCACAUGAUUAAAGGUAUUCCGGUAGACGAUGGGGAUGCGUUCCAUUAGAUAGUAGGCGGGGUAACGGCCCACCUAGUCUUCGAUGGAUAGGGGUUCUGAGAGGAAGGUCCCCCACAUUGGAACUGAGACACGGUCCAAACUCCUACGGGAGGCAGCAGUGAGGAAUAUUGGUCAAUGGGCGAGAGCCUGAACCAGCCAAGUAGCGUGAAGGAUGACUGCCCUAUGGGUUGUAAACUUCUUUUAUAAAGGAAUAAAGUCGGGUAUGGAUACCCGUUUGCAUGUACUUUAUGAAUAAGGAUCGGCUAACUCCGUGCCAGCAGCCGCGGCAAUACGGAGGAUCCGAGCGUUAUCCGGAUUUAUUGGGUUUAAAGGGAGCGUAGAUGGAUGUUUAAGUCAGUUGUGAAAGUUUGCGGCUCAACCGUAAAAUUGCAGUUGAUACUGGAUAUCUUGAGUGCAGUUGAGGCAGGCGGAAUUCGUGGUGUAGCGGUGAAAUGCUUAGAUAUCACGAAGAACUCCGAUUGCGAAGGCAGCCUGCUAAGCUGCAACUGACAUUGAGGCUCGAAAGUGUGGGUAUCAAACAGGAUUAGAUACCCUGGUAGUCCACACGGUAAACGAUGAAUACUCGCUGUUUGCGAUAUACGGCAAGCGGCCAAGCGAAAGCGUUAAGUAUUCCACCUGGGGAGUACGCCGGCAACGGUGAAACUCAAAGGAAUUGACGGGGGCCCGCACAAGCGGAGGAACAUGUGGCUUAAUUCGAUGAUACGCGAGGAACCUUACCCGGGCUUAAAUUGCAGAUGAAUUACGGUGAAAGCCGUAAGCCGCAAGGCAUCUGUGAAGGUGGUGCAUGGUUGUCGUCAGCUCGUGCCGUGAGGUGUCGGCUUAAGUGCCAUAACGAGCGCAACCCUUGUUGUCAGUUACUAACAGGAUUUGAUGAGGACUCUGACAAGACUGCCAUCGUAAGAUGUGAGGAAGGUGGGGAUGACGUCAAAUCAGCACGGCCCUUACGUCCGGGGCUACACACGUGUUACAAUGGGGGGUACAGAGGGCCGCUACCACGCGAGUGGAUGCCAAUCCCCAAAACCUCUCUCAGUUCGGACUGGAGUCUGCAACCCGACUCCACGAAGCUGGAUUUGCUAGUAAUCGCGCAUCAGCCACGGCGCGGUGAAUACGUUCCCGGGCCUUGUGCACACCGCCCGUCAAGCCAUGGGAGCCGGGGGUACCUGAAGUGCGUAACCGCGAGGAGCGCCCUAGGGUAAAACUGG
rnacentral:rRNA from 1 species